CAGGAAAAGCCCAGCACUAAGCCCUCCAGUCGUAUUGGCUGGUAGGGGAUGCAGUGUAUGGAAUGUCUAUUAUCUUAUAUGACGGUAAUACGUUCAAGUCCAUCUUGAAUGGGGCUAUUUUACCCAUAGAGGGUGCCAGGCCCGUAGUAACUAUUACCAUGUAUAAGAAGAUAUUUCCAAAGAGUCGUGUUGCUUGAUAGUGCAGCACUAAGUUGGUGGUAAACUCCAUCUAAGGCUAAAUAUGACCACGAGACCGAUAGCGAACAAGUACCGUGAGGGAAAGUUGAAAAGCACUCUGAAUAGAGAGUUAAAUAGUACGUGAAACCGCUUAGGGAUUAAACCCGAUGAACCUGAAUAUCUGAAUUGAGAAAUUCAAUAUUAUUUUAUUAUUAUUUUAAACAUAAUAAUAUAAAUGGUAUGCACUUUUCUCAUAGUAGGACAUUGCGAUCCAUUAGUAUAAUCUUUUUAAGAUAGUUUAUCAAACGGCCCAUUUAGUCAGUUUAUUCUAUCUGUAAUAAUUUUUAUUAAUUGUUAUAUGAAUAAUGCUAUAUCGGUGACCUGGUAAACGUCUGAUGGAGCUUAACGAUCAUGCAACCAUGUAAAUGUAUCACGGUUUAUAUAUUAUUUUUUUAUAUGAAUGCAGUGAUAGCAUGUAUUUGAUCAGCAAUGCGAUAGAUUUGGGAUACCUUCGGGACCCGUCU
rnacentral:rRNA from 1 species